rnacentral:rRNA from 1 species
CACGUAGGGUGCGAGCGUUGUCCGGAAUUAUUGGGCGUAAAGAGCUCGUAGGCGGUGUGUCGCGUCGGCCGUGAAAACCUGCAGCUUAACUGUGGGCUUGCGGUCGAUACGGGCAUCACUGGAGUUCGGCAGGGGAGACUGGAAUUCCUGGUGUAGCGGUGAAAUGCGCAGAUAUCAGGAGGAACACCGGUGGCGAAGGCGGGUCUCUGGGCAACACUGACGCUGAGGAGCGAAAGCGUGGGGAGCGAACAGG